rnacentral:rRNA from 1 species
CAGUCGCCGCGGUAAUACGAAGGGGGCUAGCGUUAUUCGGAAUUACUGGGCGUAAAGCGCACGUAGGCGGCUUUGUAAGUUAGAGGUGAAAGCCCAGAGCUCAACUCUGGAAUUGCCUUUAAGACUGCAUCGCUUGAAUCCAGGAGAGGUGAGUGGAAUUCCGAGUGUAGAGGUGAAAUUCGUAGAUAUUCGGAAGAACACCAGUGGCGAAGGCGGCUCACUGGACUGGUAUUGACGCUGAUGCACGAAAGCUAGGGGAGCAAACAGGAUUAGAUACCCCCGUAGUCCCUGUCUCUUAUAA